UACAGAGGUCUCAAGCGUUGUUCGGAUUCAUUGGGCGUAAAGGGUGCGUAGGCGGCGCGGUAAGUCGGGUGUGAAAUCUCGGGCUUAACUCCGAAACUGCAUUCGAUACUGCCGUGCUUGAGGACUGGAGAGGAGACUGGAAUUUACGGUGUAGCGGUGAAAUGCGUAGAUAUCGUAAGGAAGACCAGUGGCGAAGGCGGGUCUCUGGACG
rnacentral:rRNA from 1 species